rnacentral:rRNA from 1 species
AUACGUAGGGGGCGAGCGUUGUUCGGAAUGAUUGGGCGUAAAGGGCGCGUAGGCGGCCCGGUAAGUCUGGAGUGAAAGUCCUGUUUUUAAGAUGGGAAUUGCUUUGGAUACUGUCGGGCUUGAGUGCAGGAGAGGUAAGUGGAAUUCCCAGUGUAGCGGUGAAAUGCGUAGAGAUUGGGAGGAACACCAGUGGCGAAGGCGACUUACUGGACUGUAACUGACGCUGAGGCGCGAAAGUGUGGGGAGCAAACAGGAUUAGAUACCCUGGUAGUCCACACUGUAAACGAUGAAUGCUAGGUGUAGGGGGUAUCGACCCCUUCUGUGCCGCAGUCAACACAAUAAGCAUUCCGCCUGGGGAGUACGGCCGCAAGGUUGAAACUCAAAUGAAUUGACGGGG